rnacentral:sRNA from 1 species
GCCUGGUGUGGUGGCUCACACCUGUAAUUCCAGCUGCUGGGGAGGCUGAGGCAGGGGUAUUGCAAGUUCAAAGCCAGCCUCAGCAACUUAGGAAGACCUUGUCUCAA